UUUUCUCCCCAAAGCCCCCCGGUACAUAGUUGUGUAUUCUUCGUUGUGGGUUCCUCUAGUUGUGGCAUGUGGGACGCUGCCUCAGCGUGGUCUGACGAGCAGUGCCAUGUCCGCGCCCAGGAUUCGAACCGACGAAACACUGGGCCGCCUGCAGCGGAGCGUGCGAACUUAACCACUCGGCCACGGGGCCAGCCCCUAGCUAACAACAUUUAUUACGUCUUGACAUCAUAUGCUGAGUUGCUUGGCACCAUCUGGGUGCCGCUAUGUUUGCCAAGUUCCUAUCAUCUCUUGUCAGUCAUCGCUAAGUACCUCCUCGUCCACCAGAUGCUGUAAUCUCCGUCCACAGCCAAGUCAUUCACACUACCGAGAUGAUAAACCUCCAUGGUGUUCUUUUGCAGAAUGGAGAAGGCUGCUUCUCUCUCCUUUGGUUCAUACGACAUCAGAGUGCAACUCUGAAUGCUUGAGCUUCAGAUCGAUGUUUUAAAGAGUUUUUAGCCCUUUUUGCUUACAAGCACUCUAAUUUUCAUGGAACUUAGAAACCCAAAGGUGGCUGAGCCAAGAAGCUAGUAUGAGUUACACACAUACCCACCACUUUCCCAAAUACCUACACACCUACUAUACAUUGUGCCAAGAGCGUCUCAUUUCUCACGUUAAUGAAAUUCUCUUAAUCCAUUACCAUCUUUGUCCAAUUUCAUAGUCCAAUAAAGACCACUGCUACUGAAGUAAUAGCUAUGUUUUGUUGUCUAAAUUAAGAACUCUACUUUUAUAGUGAAAUAUAUUCAAGGGGGGGGAUGUUAUAUGUACAAAAUAUAGGUAUACCUAUGAGAAGCUAGUUUUUUUUUGUUUAAUGUAA
rnacentral:lncRNA from 1 species